rnacentral:rRNA from 1 species
UGCGAAUGCUGACAUAAGUAACGAUAAAGCGGGUGAAAAGCCCGCUCGCCGGAAGACCAAGGGUUCCUGUCCAACGUUAAUCGGGGCAGGGUGAGUCGACCCCUAAGGCGAGGCCGAAAGGCGUAGUCGAUGGGAAACAGGUUAAUAUUCCUGUACUUGGUGUUACUGCGAAGGGGGGACGGAGAAGGCUAUGUUGGCCGGGCGACGGUUGUCCCGGUUUAAGCGUGUAGGCUGGUUUUCCAGGCAAAUCCGGAAAACUAAGGCUGAGGCGUGAUGACGAGGCACUACGGUGCUGAAGCAACAAAUGCCCUGCUUCCAGGAAAAGCCUCUAAGCAUCAGGUAACAUCAAAUCGUACCCCAAACCGACACAGGUGGUCAGGUAGAGAAUACCAAGGCGCUUGAGAGAACUCGGGUGAAGGAACUAGGCAAAAUGGUGCCGUAACUUCGGGAGAAGGCACGCUGAUAUGUAGGUGAAGCGACUUGCUCGUGGAGCUGAAAUCAGUCGAAGAUACCAGCUGGCUGCAACUGUUUAUUAAAAACACAGCACUGUGCAAACACGAAAGUGGACGUAUACGGUGUGACGCCUGCCCGGUGCCGGAAGGUUAAUUGAUGGGGUCAGCGCAAGCGAAGCUCUUGAUCGAAGCCCCGGUAAACGGCGGCCGUAACUAUAACGGUCCUAAGGUAGCGAAAUUCCUUGUCGGGUAAGUUCCGACCUGCACGAAUGGCGUAAUGAUGGCCAGGCUGUCUCCACCCGAGACUCAGUGAAAUUGAACUCGCUGUGAAGAUGCAGUGUACCCGCGGCAAGACGGAAAGACCCCGUGAACCUUUACUAUAGCUUGACACUGAACAUUGAGCCUUGAUGUGUAGGAUAGGUGGGAGGCUUUGAAGUGUGGACGCCAGUCUGCAUGGAGCCGACCUUGAAAUACCACCCUUUAAUGUUUGAUGUUCUAACGUUGACCCGUGAUCCGGGUUGCGGACAGUGUCUGGUGGGUAGUUUGACUGGGGCGGUCUCCUCCUAAAGAGUAACGGAGGAGCACGAAGGUUGGCUAAUCCUGGUCGGACAUCAGGAGGUUAGUGCAAUGGCAUAAGCCAGCUUGACUGCGAGCGUGACGGCGCGAGCAGGUGCGAAAGCAGGUCAUAGUGAUCCGGUGGUUCUGAAUGGAAGGGCCAUCGCUCAACGGAUAAAAGGUACUCCGGGGAUAACAGGCUGAUACCGCCCAAGAGUUCAUAUCGACGGCGGUGUUUGGCACCUCGAUGUCGGCUCAUCACAUCCUGGGGCUGAAGUAGGUCCCAAGGGUAUGGCUGUUCGCCAUUUAAAGUGGUACGCGAGCUGGGUUUAGAACGUCGUGAGACAGUUCGGUCCCUAUCUGCCGUGGGCGCUGGAGAACUGAGGGGGGCUGCUCCUAGUACGAGAGGACCGGAGUGGACGCAUCACUGGUGUUCGGGUUGUCAUGCCAAUGGCACUGCCCGGUAGCUAAAUGCGGAAGAGAUAAGUGCUGAAAGCAUCUAAGCACGAAACUUGCCCCGAGAUGAGUUCUCCCUGACUCCUUGAGAGUCCUGAAGGAACGUUGAAGACGACGACGUUGAUAGGCCGGGUGUGUAAGCGCAGCGAUGCGUUGAGCUAACCGGUACUAAUGAACCGUGAGGCUUAACCUUACAACGCCGAAGCUGUU